CACCAGCUAAGGUCCCAAAAUAUAUGUUAAGUGGAAAAGGAUGUGGCGUUGCCCAGACAACUAGGAUGUUGGCUUAGAAGCAGCCAUCAUUUAAAGAGUGCGUAAUAGCUCACUAGUCGAGUGACACUGCGCCGAAAAUGUACCGGGGCUAAACAUAUUACCGAAGCUGUGGAUUGUCCUUUGGACAAUGGUAGGAGAGCGUUCUAAGGGCGUUGAAGCAUGAUCGUAAGGACAUGUGGAGCGCUUAGAAGUGAGAAUGCCGGUGUGAGUAGCGAAAGACGGGUGAGAAUCCCGUCCACCGAUUGACUAAGGUUUCCAGAGGAAGGCUCGUCCGCUCUGGGUUAGUCGGGUCCUAAGCUGAGGCCGACAGGCGUAGGCGAUGGAUAACAGGUUGAUAUUCCUGUACCACCUAUAAUCGUUUUAAUCGAUGGGGGGACGCAGUAGGAUAGGCGAAGCGUGCGAUUGGAUUGCACGUCUAAGCAGUAAGGCUGAGUAUUAGGCAAAUCCGGUACUCGUUAAGGCUGAGCUGUGAUGGGGAGAAGACAUUGUGUCUUCGAGUCGUUGAUUUCACACUGCCGAGAAAAGCCUCUAGAUAGAAAAUAGGUGCCCGUACCGCAAACCGACACAGGUAGUCAAGAUGAGAAUUCUAAGGUGAGCGAGCGAACUCUCGUUAAGGAACUCGGCAAAAUGACCCCGUAACUUCGGGAGAAGGGGUGCUCUUUAGGGUUAACGCCCAGAAGAGCCGCAGUGAAUAGGCCCAAGCGACUGUUUAUCAAAAACACAGGUCUCUGCUAAACCGUAAGGUGAUGUAUAGGGGCUGACGCCUGCCCGGUGCUGGAAGGUUAAGAGGAGUGGUUAGCUUCUGCGAAGCUACGAAUCGAAGCCCCAGUAAACGGCGGCCGUAA
rnacentral:rRNA from 1 species